rnacentral:lncRNA from 1 species
AUCUGUCGAGUGGCUAUUGGACUGACGUACUGGACUUGGUUCAUCCAAAAAUCAAACCACAAAGAGGACCACAAGAAGAGAACCAAAUGCCAAAUGGUCAAAUGCAUCCAAAUGUUAACCUCAAGGGCUGCAGAUGGGGGGAAAGAGACAAGGGUUGGCCCGAAACCAAAACCAAGGAGAAACAGAAGAGCAAGAUUGGAUUUUUAAACGAAGGAAACAAACAACUAGGCGUUCAAAAAGAUGGAAUCUUUGGCUCCAACAGCCAUGAAAUCCAACCGGAAAAGAGAGGGGGAGGGAACUAUAUUAAUUGCAUUAAUGCACGGAAAGGAAAUCAGAUUUGCUGGGCCUGGAAGAUUUUGGUUACAUGAAUCAAAGGAAAUGUUAAUGUGACAGGCUGAGAGGAUCACAAUCUGGAGAAAAAAUGGCCUUGCAGUUGGUAAAAAUUACAAGAGCGGCCACCAUUUCCUAUUUCUUUCUCCAA